rnacentral:rRNA from 1 species
ACGUGAGUAACCUGCCCCUUACUCUGGGAUAAGCCUUGGAAACGAGGUCUAAUACCGGAUAUGAGACGUACAGGCAUCUGUUGCGUCUGGAAAGAUUNAUCGGUGAGNNNNNGGCNNNNNGCCUAUCANNNNNGUUGGUGGGGUGAUGGCCUACCAAGGCGACGACGGGUAGCCGGCCUGAGAGGGCGACCGGCCACACUGGGACUGAGACACGGCCCAGACUCCUACGGGAGGCAGCNGUGGGGAAUAUUGCACAAUGGGCGCAAGCCUGAUGCAGCGACGCCGCGUGAGGGAUGACGGCCUUCGGGUUGUAAACCUCUUUCAGCAGGGAAGAAGCGCAAGUGACGGUACCUGCAGAAGAAGCGCCGGCUAACUACGUGCCAGCAGCCGCGGUAAUACGUAGGGCGCAAGCGUUGUCCGGAAUUAUNUGGGCGUAAAGAGCUCGUAGGCGGUUUGUCGCGUCUGCUGUGAAAACCUAAGGCUCAACCUUGGGNNUGCAGUGGGUACGGGCAGACUAGAGUGCGGUAGGGGUGACUGGAAUUCCUGGUGUAGCGGUGGAAUGCGCAGAUAUCAGGAGGNNNACCGAUGGCGAAGGCAGGUCACUGGGCCGCAACUGACGCUGAGGAGCGAAAGCAUGGGGAGCGAACAGGAUUAGAUACCCUGGUAGUCCAUGCCGUAAACGUUGGGCACUAGGUGUGGGGCUCAUUCCACGAGUUCCGUGCCGCAGCAAACGCAUUAAGUGCCCCGCCUGGGGAGUACGGCCGCAAGGCUAAAACUCAAAGAAAUUGACGGGGGCCCGCACAAGCGGCGGAGCAUGCGGAUUAAUUCGAUGCAACGCGAAGAACCUUACCAAGGCUUGACAUACACCGGAAAAGUGCAG